ACCUGGUUGAUUCUGCCAGUAGUCAUAUGCUUGUCUUAAAGAUUAAGCCAUGCAUGUCUAAGUAUAAGCAAUUAUACAGCGAAACUGCGAAUGGCUCAUUAAAUCAGUUAUCGUUUAUUUGAUAGUACCUUACUACAUGGAUAACCGUGGUAAUUCUAGAGCUAAUACAUGCUGAAAACCCCGACUUCGGAAGGGGUGUAUUUAUUAGAUUAAAAACCAAUGCCCUUCGGGGCUCACUGGUGAUUCAUGAUAACUUCUCGAAUCGCACGGCCUUGCGCCGGCGAUGGUUCAUUCAAAUUUCUGCCCUAUCAACUUUCGACGGCUGGGUCUUGGCCAGCCGUGGUGACAACGGGUAACGGAGGGUUAGGGCUCGACCCCGGAGAAAACGCCUGAGAAACGGCGUUUACAUCCAAGGAAGGCAGCAGGCGCGCAAAUUACCCAAUGCCGACACGGCGAGGUAGUGACGAGAAAUACUGAUACAGGGCUCUUUUGGGUCUUGUAAUUGGAAUGAGUACAAUUUAAAUCUCUUAACGAGGAACAAUUGGAGGGCAAGUCUGGUGAACGUUCCAGUUCCGAUGCUGGUGCCAGAGAUAGCGGUUAAAUAGCCCACGCUAGUCGAGCAUCCGCCAUCAGCGGGAGGAUGCCGGCGAGACAACCUGGAUCGGGGGACGCUAAGGUGCCGAAGGGCGCUAUGCCAUCCCGAGCGGAGUCCACUGACCGGACCCGUGUAGAGCGCGCAAAGGUGUCGGUCCGGCUCCGUCCGAGCUUGUGCCUUAAGGUACGUUGCUCGAUCCCCCGGCGAAAGGCGGGGGCCGCGGUCAAAUGAUUGCCCGCCUGCACCGAAUGGGACCGGGAUGGUCCGAGG